rnacentral:rRNA from 1 species
AACGCGAAGAACCUUACCAGGUCUUGACAUCCCUCUGACCGUCCUAGAGAUAGGGCUUUCCUUCGGGACAGAGGAGACAGGUGGUGCAUGGUUGUCGUCAGCUCGUGUCGUGAGAUGUUGGGUUAAGUCCCGCAACGAGCGCAACCCUUGAUCUUAGUUGCCAGCACUUCGGGUGGGCACUCUAGGAUGACUGCCGGUGACAAACCGGAGGAAGGUGGGGAUGACGUCAAAUCAUCAUGCCCCUUAUGACCUGGGCUACACACGUACUACAAUGGCCGGUACAACGGGUCGCGAAGCCGCGAGGUGGAGCCAAUCCCAGCAAAGCCGGUCUCAGUUCGGAUUGCAGGCUGCAACUCGCCUGCAUGAAGUCGGAAUUGCUAGUAAUCGCGGAUCAGCAUGCCGCGGUGAAUACGUUCCCGGGCCUUGUACACACCG